UGAGAGUUUGAUCCUAGCUCAGGGUGAACGCUGGCGGCGUGCCUAAGGCAUGCAAGUCGAACGAGUGUGCCCCGCAAGGGGCGCGCGAGUGGCAGACGGGAGAGUAACACAUUGGCAACCUGCCUUGAAGACGGGCAUAAUUCGCCGAAAGGCGAACUAAUUCCCGAUGGACAUGAGGGGGCGCAAGCCAUUCUCAUGUAAAGUCCAAAAGACGCUUCAAGAGGGGCCUAUGGCCUAUCAGCUUGUUGGUGGGGUAACGGCCUACCAAGGCUACGACGGGUAGCGGGUGUGAGAGCACGACCCGCCUCAGUGGAACUGAGACACUGUCCACACUCCUACGGGAGGCUGCAGUCAGGAAUAUUGGGCAAUGGGCGAAAGCCUGACCCAGCGACGCCGCGUGCAGGAAGAAGCCCUUCGGGGUGUAAACUGCUUUUGCCGCCGAAUAAGCCCGCCUAAAUUUCGCUAAGCGAAAGAAAUACAAGGCGAAAACAUAACCUAAGAGAGUGCUGAUAAAUGAAUAAUCUAGUUUUGGCGAAACUUAGGCGGGCUGAAUGUAGGCGGAGAAUAAGGGGUUCCUAACUCUGUGCCAGCAGGAGCGGUAAUACAGAGACCUCAAGCGUUACCCGGAUUUACUGGGCUUAAAGCGUCCGCAGGUGUCCACCUAAGUUUUUCGUUAAAUCUUCAGGCUCAACUUGAAGCUGCGAAAAAAACUGGGUGGAUUGAGGCCGGGAGAGGCAAGUGGAACUACCGGUGUAGCGGUAAAAUGCAUUAAUAUCGGUAGGAACACCAAAGGCGAAGGCAGCUUGCUAGAACGGCUCUGACACUCAUGGACGAAAGCGUGGGGAGCGAAUAGGAUUAGAUACCCUAGUAGUCCACGCCCUAAACGAUGGAUGCUAGCUAUUGGAAGUAUCGACCCUUCCAGUGGCGUUUUCAUAAGGGAAACCGUUAAGCAUCCCGCCUGGGAAGUACGGCCGCAAGGCUAAAACUCAAAGGAAUAGACGGGGACCCGCACAAGCGGUGGAUCAUGUGGUUUAAUUCGACGAUAAGCGAGGAACCUUACCAGGGCUUGACAUGCUUCUGCAAGCGCACGGAAACGUGUGACCUUCGAGGGUGAAGCACAGGUGCUGCAUGGUUGUCGUCAGCUCGUGCCGUGAGGCGUUCCAUUAAGUUGGGUAACGAGCGCAACCCCUAUUGUCUGUUACUGUGUCAGACGAGACUGCUCCGGUAUACGGAGAGGAAGGCGGGGAUGACGUCAAAUCAGCAUGGCCCUUACGUCCUGGGCUACACACGUGAUACAAUGGCCGGUACAAUGGGACGCCAAGUCGCAAGAUGGAGCCAAUCCCAUCAAAACCGGUCCCAGUUCGGAUUGGGGGCUGCAACUCGCCCCCAUGAAGCCGGAAUCGCUAGUAAACGCGCAUCAGCCACGGUGCGUUGAAUACGUUCUCGGGUUAGCGCAAAGUGCGCAAGGCCCCUCUCGGCAGUAAUGUCGAGAUGCAAAGUGAGCUAAUAACGGUGAACGCCAUAACAGUCUGGUGAGACUUUGUGGUCAAUACCGUGGGAAGUCCGACCAAAGUCGGACCCCGUAGAGACUUAUAUUGUAGGUGCCCCAUAAUGGGGAAAACAAACUACAAUUAUACGCUCACCUUCCUAAACGUGGUAGCUGCAGGCUUUAGCCUGCGCACUACGAUGGAAGAAGAUAUAGUCCAUCCCAUUGGUAACAAUGGAAAAAGAUGCUUGUACUCACCGCCCGUCAAGCCAAGCGAGCGGGGAAUUCCUGAAGCCGCCGGGGUAAGAGCCGGCGUCCAAGGAAGGCCUCGUGAGAGGGGCUAAGUCGUAACAAGGCAUCCCUAGCGGAAGCUGGGGAUGGAUCACCUCCUU
rnacentral:rRNA from 1 species